rnacentral:rRNA from 1 species
CCUACGGGAGGCAGCAGUAGGGAAUAUUGCUCAAUGGGGGAAACCCUGAAGCAGCAACGCCGCGUGGAGGAUGAAGGUUUUCGGAUUGUAAACUCCUUUUGUUAGAGAAGAUAAUGACGGUAUCUAACGAAUAAGCACCGGCUAACUCCGUGCCAGCAGCCGCGGUAAUACGGAGGGUGCAAGCGUUACUCGGAGUCACUGGGCGUAAGGAGCGCGUAGGCGGGAUAGCAAGUCAGAUGUGAAAUCCUAUGGCUUAACCAUAGAACUGCAUUUGAAACUGUUAUUCUAGAGUAUGGGAGAGGUAGGUGGAAUUCUUGGUGUAGGGGUAAAAUCCGUAGAGAUCAAGAGGAAUACUCAUUGCGAAGGCGACCUGCUAGAACAUAACUGACGCUGAUGCGCGAAAGCGUGGGGAGCAAACAGGAUUAGAUACCCCAGUAGUC